rnacentral:rRNA from 1 species
UACGGGGGGGGUAAGCGUUGUUCGGAAUUACUGGGCGUAAAGGGCUCGUAGGCGGCCAACUAAAGUCAUACGUGAAAUCCCUCAGCUUAACUGGGGAACUGCGUGUGAUACUGGAUGGCUUGGAUUUGGGAGAGGGAUGCGGAAUUCCAGGUGUAGCGGUGAAAUGCGUAGAUAUCUGGAGGAACACCGGUGGCGAAGGCGGCAUCCUGGACCAAU